AUGCAAGUCGAGGGGUAACAGGGAGCUUGCUCCGCUGACGACCGGCGCACGGGUGCGCAACGCGUAUGCAAUCUACCUCUUACUAAGGGAUAGCCCAGAGAAAUUUGGAUUAAUAUCUUAUGUGAUAUGUGACUGGCAUCGGUUACAUAUUAAAGGUUACGGUAAGAGAUGAGCAUGCGUCUCAUUAGUUAGUUGGUAAGGUAACGGCUUACCAAGACUUCGAUGAGUAGGGGUCCUGAGAGGGAGAUCCCCCACACUGGUACUGAGACACGGACCAGACUCCUACGGGAGGCAGCAGUGAGGAAUAUUGGACAAUGGACGGAAGUCUGAUCCAGCCAUGCCGCGUGUAGGAAGACUGCCCUAUGGGUUGUAAACUACUUUUAUACAGGAAGAAUAAGAUCUACGUGUAGAUUGAUGACGGUACUGUAAGAAUAAGGACCGGCUAACUCCGUGCCAGCAGCCGCGGUAAUACGGAGGGUCCGAGCGUUAUCCGGAAUUAUUGGGUUUAAAGGGUCCGUAGGCGGGCUGUUAAGUCAGAGGUGAAAUGCUGCGGCUCAACCGUAUGCACUGCCUUUGAUACUGGCGGUCUUGAGUUAUAGUGAAGUGGCUAGAAUAAGUAGUGUAGCGGUGAAAUGCAUAGAUAUUACUUAGAAUACCGAUUGCGAAGGCAGGUCACUAACUAUACACUGACGCUGAUGGACGAAAGCGUGGGUAGCGAACAGGAUUAGAUACCCUGGUAGUCCACGCCGUAAACGAUGGAUACUAGCUGUUCGGUUUUCGGACUGAGCGGCCAAGCGAAAGUGAUAAGUAUCCCACCUG
rnacentral:rRNA from 1 species